GCUCUGCUGAGCUUGACAAUAGGCAUCAGGAAAAACUGUGAACUGAGAAGCAUGCUUCAGAUUCAAGGUUCUGGGAAGUCGAGAUUACAUCCCUAAAGAUGAUCCACACUCAACUUUGCACUGGAAUAUCUGGAGUGAUGCCAACAAGAUGAUGGAGUAGAAGACAGAGCCUUCAUUCUGUCCCCCUGCAAAGUAACAAUUAAUUAGACAGAUAUCAAUGAAUGAAAUACUAAGAGGGCAAAAUAAUCCAAUUAAAAACCUUCAGCAUCACCAUGGAACAAGGAAACAUGGACAAAAUCUGUACACAAAGGAACACUGAGAAGAUCAGCAUACUUGAGACUCCUGGAGAUGACGAGGAACCUCCUAAUGGCUAGUUUUUCAACCCACAACCAGUGUCCCUCACAUGGGAAGCUUGUUUAUACUAGAAGACUCCCUUGUAUCUGAUUUCUGACCAAUUACAACUGUGUGACCAUUGCUGUAUGCCGCAGCUGGGAGCUUGAACAACAACAACAACAAAAAUGGCAUGGAUAUCAGUACCAGCCACAUGGUGAGUGCCAACAUGGUUCCCAGUGGCCUUCUCUGCAGAGCACCUUGGCAGACUUUGCCACUGAGGGUUACAACAGCCCAUAUGGCAUCUGCCGAUUCACCAUAGCCUUCACAGCAAAGGUGCCAUUAGUGUUUAUUGGCAUGGACCCCAGCAGCCGGCUCUGCAGAGGAUACUGGCAGUUUUUGCCACUGAGCUAACCAACAGCCAUCAUAGAAACAAACCUCCUUGGAGAGGGAGAUGCUGCUGGUAUCCCUACCCAUAAGAAGAAGCUACUGUUGUGCC
rnacentral:lncRNA from 1 species